GAUGAACGCUGGCGGCAGGCCUAACACAUGCAAGUCGAACGGACCCUUCGGGGUUAGUGGCGGACGGGUGAGUAACACGUGGGAACGUGCCUUUAGGUUCGGAAUAGCUCCUGGAAACGGGUGGUAAUGCCGAAUGUGCCCUUCGGGGGGAAAGAUUUAUCGCCUUUAGAGCGGCCCGCGUCUGAUUAGCUAGUUGGUGGGGUAAUGGCGCACCAAGGUGACGAUCAGUAGCUGUUCUGAGAGGAGGACCAGCCACAUUGGGACUGAGACACGGCCCAAACUCCUACGGGAGGCAGCAGUGGGGAAUCUUGCGCAAUGGGCGAAAGCCUGACGCAGCCAUGCCGCGUGGAUGAUGAAGGUCUUAGGAUUGUAAAAUCCUUUCACCGGUGAAGAUAAUGACUGUAGCCGGAGAAGAAGCCCCGGCUAACUUCGUGCCAGCCGCCGCGGUAACAC
rnacentral:rRNA from 1 species